AGUGAUCGCUGGCGGUAGGCCUAACACAUGCAAGUCCAACGGCAGCACAGUAAGAGCUUGCUCUUACGGGUGGCGAGUGGCGGACGGGUGAGGAAUACAUCGGAAUCUACUUUUUCGUGGGGGAUAACGUAGGGAAACUUACGCUAAUACCGCAUACGACCUACGGGUGAAAGCAGGGGAUCUUCGGACCUUGCGCGAUUGAAUGAGCCGAUGUCGGAUUAGCUAGUUGGCGGGGUAAAGGCCCACCAAGGCGACGAUCCGUAGCUGGUCUGAGAGGAUGAUCAGCCACACUGGAACUGAGACACGGUCCAGACUCCUACGGGAGGCAGCAGUGGGGAAUAUUGGACAAUGGGCGCAAGCCUGAUCCAGCCAUACCGCGUGGGUGAAGAAGGCCUUCGGGUUGUAAAGCCCUUUUGUUGGGAAAGAAAAGCAGCAGGUUAAUACCCCGCUGUUCUGACGGUACCCAAAGAAUAAGCACCGGCUAACUUCGUG
rnacentral:rRNA from 1 species